GCUCUUGUCUCUGCUAUAGGAACCCCGAGUGAUUGUGUGGGAUGCUCGCAUAAUCUUGUGGCCCGGUUUUUACCGCAGAAGAUUCUGGUUUGUUGCGUUCUUCCUGGCCGGUCGCGUGAACGCGUGUAAGAGUUGGUGCCGAAAUCCGGGAAGAAAGAACCCAGGACGAAAAAACCCAGGACAAGAAAACUCGGGACGGGAGUUAACCAUCACCGGCGCAAGGAAGAUCCCUCAUUCCAGAACCAGAACUGCGGGUCAUGGUAAUGAAGUGUUCCCAUAAAACAGACUGUUGAGAAGGAUUCAACUGCAUGAAUUCAGAACUCUUCAGCUGGGGAACAGGGGUACCAGUGAGUACAGCUUUACAAGAAUGAAGACAACCCAUUUUGGAUACCAGAAAGACUCACCCGAAAAAUCCAGACUGACCAAGGGAAUACUGAUGUCCCUCGUCUUGGUGAUGUCCAGGGCGUCAAUAAUAAAGAGAGAGCAGCGUUGGGGGAUAAUGUCGACAUUUCCACUCCCAAUGCCGGUGAUGUAUAAUGCUCAAGUAUUCCCCUGCUUUUUUACCACUAACUAGGAACUGGGUUUGGCCUUGAUUCAGACAGCCUUGGCUCUGUCUAGACAGGUCCAGAUGACUGACACCAUUAACACUUUGUCAGCCUCAGUGACUACAGUCAUAGAUAAACAGGCCUCAGCUAAUGUCAAGAUACAGGGUGGUCUCAUGCUGGUUAGUCAACUCAUAGAUCUUGUCCAGAAACAACUAGAUGUAUUAUGGCAAAUAGCUCAGCUGGGAUGUGAACAAAAGUUUCCGGGAUUGUGUGUUACUUCCAUUCAGUAUGAGAAAUUUACUAGGGCAGCUAAUUUGUCAAAAAGUCUUUUUCAGUAUAUGUUACAGAAUUGGACGGCUGAAUUUGAACAGAUCCUUCGGGAAUUGAGACUUCAGGUCAACUCCACGCGCUUGGACCUGUCCCUGACCAAAGGAUUACCCAAUUGGAUCUCCUCAGCAUUUUCCUUCUUUAAAGAAUGGGUGGGAUUGAUAUUAUUUGGAGAUACACUUUGCUGUGGAUUAGUGUUGCUUCUUUGGUUGGUCUGUAAGCUUAAGGCCCAAACUAGGAGAGACAAGGUGGUUAUUGCCCAGGCGCUUGCAGGACUAGAACAUGGUGCUUCCCCUGAUUUAUGGUUAUCUAUGCUUAAGCAAUAGGUCGCUGGCCAUUCAGCUCUUGCACACCACGAGGCUAGUCUCAUUGCACGGGAUAGAGUGAGUGUGCUUCAGCAGCCCGAGAGAGUUGCACGGCUAAGCACUGCAGUAGAAGGGCUCUGCGGCAUAUAUGAGCCUAUUCUAGGGAGACAUGUCAUCUUUCAAGAAGGUUGAGUGUUCAAGUGUCCUUCCUCCAGGAAAAACAACACGGGACCAGACCAGGACCCCUCUAGGUGAUGAGCCUGGAAGGAGGUUAUGUGUACGGCUCCUUUACCUGCACACUGGGGAUUUGACCUCUAUCUCCACUCUCAAUAUGGGUGGCCUAUUGCUCUUAUUAAUAGAAAAGGGGGAACUGUGGGAAGCCGCCCCCACAUUCGCCGUUACAAGAUGGCGCUGACAGCUGUGUUCUAAGUGGUAAACAAAUAAUCUGCACAUGUGCCAAGGGUAGUUCUCCACCCCAUGUGCUCUGCCUUCCCCGUGACGACAACUCGGCCAUGGGCUGCAGCCAAUCAGGGAGUGAUACGUCCUAGGCGAAGGAUAACUCUCCUUAAGAGGGACGGGGUUUCGUUUUUGCUUUUGGGGGGCUCUUGCACUCUUGCUCCUGAAGAUGUAAAUAAUAAAGUUUUUACCGCAGAAGA
rnacentral:lncRNA from 1 species